rnacentral:rRNA from 1 species
AGUGAACGCUGGCGGUAGGCUUAACACAUGCAAGUCGAACGGCAGCACAGUAAGAGCUUGCUCUUACGGGUUGCGAGUGGCGGACGGGUGAGGAAUACAACGGAAUCUACAUUUUCGUGGGGGAUAACGUAGGGAAACUUACGCUAAUACCGCAUACGACCUUCGGUUGAAAGCAGGGGAUCUUCUGACCUUGCGCGAUUGAAUGAGCCGAUGUCGGACUAGCUAGUUGGCUGGUUAAAGGCCCACCAAGGCGACGAUCCGUAGCUGGUCUGAGAGGAUGAUCAGCCACACUGGAACUGAGACACGGUCCAGACUCCUACGGGAGGCAGCAGUGGGGAAUAUUGGACAAUGGGCGCAAGCCUGAUCCAGCCAUACCGAGUGGGUGAAGAAGGCCUUCGGGUUGUAAAGCCCUUUUGUUGGGAAAGAAAAGCAGUAGCUUAAUACGCAGCUGUUGUGACGGUACCCAAAGAAUAAGCACCGGCUAACUUCGUG